UACGUAGGUGACGAGCGUUGUCCGGAUUUACUGGGCGUAAAGAGCGCGCAGGCGGUCGUUCAAGUCGAGUGUGAAAGCCCCCGGCUCAACUGGGGAGGGUCACUCGAUACUGAUCGACUUGAAGGCAGGAGAGGGAAGUGGAAUUCCCGGUGUAGUGGUGAAAUGCGUAGAUAUCGGGAGGAACACCAGUGGCGAAGGCGUUCUGCUGGGCCGUUGCUGACACUGAGGCGCGACAGCGUGGGGAGCAAACAGG
rnacentral:rRNA from 1 species